rnacentral:rRNA from 1 species
GAUGAACGCUAGCGGCAGGCUUAAUACAUGCAAGUCGAGGGGCAGCACAGGGUAGCAAUACCUGGGUGGCGACCGGCAAACGGGUGCGGAACACGUACAGAACCUUCCUUCGAGCGGGGAAUAGCCCAGAGAAAUUUGGGUUAAUACCCCAUAGCAUAAUGGAGUGGCAUCACUUUGUUAUUAAAGAUUUAUCACUUGAAGAUGGCUGUGCGUAUGAUUAGGUAGUUGGCGGGGUAACGGCCCACCAAGCCUACGAUCAUUAACUGGUGUGAGAGCACGACCAGCCACACGGGCACUGAGACACGGGCCCGACUCCUACGGGAGGCAGCAGUAAGGAAUAUUGGUCAAUGGACGCAAGUCUGAACCAGCCAUGCCGCGUGGAGGAUGAAGGUCCUCUGGAUUGUAAACUUCUUUUAUCUGGGACGAAAAAAGGGAAUUCUUUCUCGUCUGACGGUACCAGAUGAAUAAGCACCGGCUAACUCCGUGCCAGCAGCCGCGGUAA